UUGUAUUUGGUAAUUUGGACCACAGGGGGAGACAGACAUGUCCUGAGACCCUUGAUCCCGCCCUGGACGAAAGUCCAAGGGUUGUUUGUAAUUUUGGUUUGGGGCCAUUCUAGUUUGCCAUGCGAUUUGUCCUGUCUGUUGUGUCUGUCCUUAUGUUUUAACUGUUUGUAUCUGUUUCUGUUCACCCCAUGGGUCAACAACUAACCACCUCCAUCCCCAACUGUGAUCGGCAGAUGUCCCUGGAGGAUCACAGACUGCUGCCCUGAGGACACCCAGGAGUUUAUAAUAUCAGGCAGACUGCCAGAUCCUGACAGUGACCCAAAGUCUCCAAAGAAGAUUAUGAGGCACUCCAGUUCCUGCACCUGGAUGAUGAUGACGCUGACCAAUGAGCAAGAUGCUCAAAUGUGAUACCAGCUGCCUGUCAGGACCUGGCCUAGAUUGUGGACAAAGCUGCUGGACACUGGAAAAUUAAUUUCAUCCCCUUUGCCUAGACAAAACAAGGCACAUCUGAGUAUCAGUUGCUGACUACAGGCUGUUCCUAAGUAGACUGAGAGCCCUGGACUUGCUGUGGAUGUGAACCAGUCCAGCUGAUGUGGACACCCCUGUCUCUGUAACAGAGUCUGCUAACCAGAAGCUCCUGAUGGAUUCCCCAUUGCCUAAAUUCCCUUUUUGCUUUUGACUAGCAUUUCAGCCUGCUUGGGUCCCUAAUUUCAUCCCAAAGUCAGCAGUAAGUAGCAUGGGAAAGAAUAUGUCACCCAUUUUCCCUGGUUGAAAUGCUAAGUCAGAAGGAACUCCCUUACAUGGGGAUGCCAAUAUCUCUCACUCCCUGAUGGGGACGCUGGAGAGACAGCAAAUCCAUGAUUGGAAUCUCAAAAAAAUGGGGGAAUGAAGGGACCAGCUCCCCAUUUUGGCAGCCAUAACAGCUGAACACAUGCUUGUCUGACCUUGUCUUGGUCACUAGGACAUCAGAUGCCUGCCUCAUGGCAAGGAACCAAUCAGAAGUUAGCUGGUGGUGCUAUGCUUUACGACUCUGGGUGUGCUUUACAGACAAGUGCACAGCAAUGACAUGCAGAGCAUAGCAACUACCCUGGGAGGGCCUAUGGGCCAUAACAACCAGUUGACUAAUCAACACAGGGCAAACCCUCCAAGCCUGGAGGCACACCAACCCUGAGCCUGUGCGUGCCCCUAGACACUCCCCUUAUGCUGCCCUAUAAGAUCUCUAUGCAGAUGGUUGGAGCCGUCUUUCCUAGCCAUCUGCCAUGUUGGAUGGAUGAAAGACCUGAGCUAACAUGGUGUUAGCUCGUUGAACAACUACAAUAAAGCCUCAUGCUGUUUGCAUCAAGUUUCUGCCUCCGCAUGGUGGGUGGCCAAAGUCCUGGACUGAGAUCCUGGGUCCCUGCGCUUCCAGGGGUCUUUCUGUGAUACUGGAAUUCCUUUCAUUACUAUUAACUGAGUUCACAAUGGAUGAGCUUGUAAGGCUGGCUCCCAGACUCUAUUUCCUAUAAUCAAAACAGCUCAGCUUUUUUUCCUCUUUUUAUUUUCCUUGUAAAUAAAAUAUUCUUAAGAAAUUUUGAGGGAGGCAUAUUUUGAGACAGAGCCUCAGCAUAUAGCCCAGGGUGACCUCUAACUCAUGACCCUCCUGCCUCAACCUCCUAAAUUCAGAAAUUAGGCAUACAUUAGCACAACCAGUUUAAACACCAUUUUAAUUAAUUCAUCUUUAUUCUGUAUACCCUUCAUGGGUAGACAGUGGAAUAAGGUUUUGGAUUUGUCAUGUAGUCUUCACUGUCAAAAUCAACUAAAAAAAACAACUUGUGUUCCCAAAAUUUGUGGUGGAUUUCUCUCCAACAAGCAAACAAGCAUUCUGCAGCAGACACUAGUUUAGUUGUGUAUCUUCUAAUCCAAUUUAGUUAUCAUACUACCUGCCUGGAGAUAAUUUCAGGUCACACAGGGUGAGGGUUCAGUCCCCUUUCACUUCAGAUGUCAGGCAACUGGUCAUAAAUGAAGCUCACUAUAAUCCCUCAUCUUGUUCAAUUAACUUGUUUCAGUGGUUUACAGGCUCAUAAACAUAUUUUGAUGAAGGGUAAUGUGAAGAGAUGAUAGACCAAAGUAUUGGAAAGGGGUAUGGAAAGUCUAUGCUUUCUCUAGGCACACAAAGUUCAGCAGUCUGGAUGUUCUCCAGAUCACAUUCUUUUGGAGUCUAUGGAAAAUUCAUUGCAUAGGCUCAACUGAAAACAGAUUGGAGGAAGAAACCUAAAGAGGCCUGUCCAGAUUCUUUAGCAUCUCUUCCCCAUGGGCCUGGGGCAAGGUCUGAAAUUAAAAUGGUCUAAUGACCAACUGUUACACCAAGAAGAUCAGACUGUCUUUUUAUGACCUGCCCUAAAAACAAUAGGAUAAGAUCAGGGUAUAUUUUUACUCUCCGUGGUUUUCCUUGUUGGACUGAAAUUCUAGUGUCUCUGGUCUGCCUUGGGGAGUAAAAUGAGCAAAUGGAAAGGUGGGAGAAGGAGAGACAGAGGGAGGAAAGGAGUGUGAGGAGCCGCACUCACAUUCGCCAUUACAAGAUGGCACUGACAUCCACUGCCGGAUCAAGUAAACAACGUUGGUAUCCAUGUGCUCAGUGUUUUUCCACUGCCUAGCCCCGCCUAUUCCAUGGCGUCAUAUAGGGUGAUGAGUCAUUCACCUAUCCCAGCUGUACACGCAUCGCUCAGAGUUUGCGAGCCUUUAUUAGGGGACAGGAUUCUUGGCUCGGGGUAUCCGCUCUGGUAAGCUUAUGCUCUCCUCUCAAGACGCAUUAAAGCUUUACUGCAGAAGGAUCCGAAUGUCCUAUGUGGUUCUUGCCGGCAAGACUAUCGCGCGGGACAUCUGGUGCCGAAACCCGGGAACUUGUUAACAUCGCCGGCACCGCGGAGACCCCUCGGACGGGGCAGAUUCAGAACUGCAGGGUGGUAAAUUCGGAGAGGAUGAAGAGAAUCCCCUGUGGAUCCCGGAAAGACUCACCCGAAGAGCCCCUUCGGACCCUCAAAAGUCGGAACUCCAUCUUCUCCCCGGGAGUUGAGAGCCGCUAUUAUCCAGAUUAACUCCUGUCCUUUACGGAGAGAUUGUCAUCAUGGAUCACUUCAGCUGUCUCCUAUUUUUAGGAUUGGGUGGGGGUGGGACUUUUUGGCACAAUUCUCUGCAGUGGUGUGGUGUUUAUGCUUGGGACUGUGUGUAGACUCAAAACCCAAACAAAAAAGGUAAGGUAGUGGUUGCACAGGCACUGGCUGCCCUAGAGAAUGGAAUCUCCCCCGGCAUUUGGCUAAGCAUGUUGAGGCAAUAGGUCGCCGACUGCUCAGCUCCUGCACCUCCGGAGGCUUGACCUCAUUGCACGGAAUAGAGUGAGCAAGGUUCGGCAGGUCAAAAGAGUUGUAAGGCUAAGCACUGCACAGAAAGGGCCUGCGGCUUUUCUUGUGGCUCUUCUGAGAGAUAUGUCAUCUUGCAUGAAGGUUAUAUGUCAUAAUGCCCUUCCCCCAGAAAAAGACAUAAGGACGGGUCUGGGCCUGCUCUGGACACAGAGUCUGGAGUCCUGCUCAAGACAAGGUCUGCAUCCAGUUUUGGGGAGUUGACCUCUAUCUCCACUCUGCAUUUGGCUGGCCUAUAGCCUCUGUGUUUCUAUAUAAUUAUAUAGGGGGAGAUGUGAGGAGCCGCACUCACAUUCGCCAUUACAAGAUGGCGCUGACAUCCGCUGCCGGAUCAAGUAAACAACGUUGGUAUCCAUGUGCUCAGUGUUUUUCCACUGCCUAGCCCCGCCUAUUCCAUGGCGUCAUAUAGGGUGACGAGUCAUUCACCUAUCCCAGCUGUACACGCAUCGCUCAGAGUUUGCGAGCCUUUAUUAGGGGACAGGAUUCUUGGCUCGGGGUAUCCGCUCUGGUAAGCUUAUGCUCUCCUCUCAAGACGCAUUAAAGCUUUACUGCAGAAGGAUCCGAAUGUCCUAUGUGGUUCUUGCCGGCAAGACUAUCGCUCGGACAAAGGAGGAAAAGAGGAAGGGGAGAAAAUGAGGGAGAUAGGAAAAGACUGUUUUCUGAGGUUUGCUUUGGAGGUUGAAAAUGUGACUUAGACUUAGAAAAUAAGAAUUACAGGAGCAAUGAGCCAAGAAUCGCAGAUGAAAAUCAAAGUCUUUAUAUCAUUGUAUCACAGACACUCUGAGGAGCCUAAGAAAAAUAAAACCCUAAAAACUUGAAAGCACAUGAACUUCAAAUGCAUUGUUCUACACUUACAGAUCCAUCAAGAAAGGUUCAUUAAUGUCAAAUCACAACAGUCUGACACUCAGGUAACACCUGCUGCUUUCAUUUCUACUUCCUGAAUCUCAUGCAAGUGGAGACCAAGAGCCUAACAGAGAAGGUGAUUCUGAGUAGCAGGUUCAGGUUUAAACUAAGUUGACAAUUGCCAACACUAAAUCUGGAACUGCCCAAGUGUCCAUCAACAUAAGAAUGGCUAAAUAAAUAGUGAUAUAUUUGUGUAGUGAAUUUGACCAAACGGAAGAAAGAAUAAUCUUGCUUUGAGCAACAACAUAGAUAAAUCUCACCAAUGUGUAGUAUUGAGUAACAGGAAUCUCACAAAGAGAAUACAAACUCUACUUACAUUAAGCUUGGUAGAAGCAAAUAAAAUAGGUGAUGAUGAAGAAAUAGUGAUUACUCUGGUGGAGGAGAAUUGACUAGGAGACAAAAGACAAGCAAUGGGUAUUAUUCCAUGAAGGACUUGCAGCAAAGAGGAGAGUAUUUUUUCUUUUUACUAGAGAAUAUGUUUUACUUUGGCUGUGUGGUAGCUGUGUGAGUUUCAUAUGUGUAAAAAGCAAUGGAAUUGUAUGUUUAUGAUUUGUACACUUUGCUAUGUUAUAUCUAAUUGUAAAACUCUAUAAAAUCAAUAAAAAGACAUUUGCA
ensembl:lncRNA